rnacentral:rRNA from 1 species
CCCUACGGGGUGCAGCAGGCGAAAAGAUUCAAAUGCAGACAGCAGCCAAUGGUAUGCCGUUUAUGAAUAAUUCUGAGCCCCCGUGGGUUCUCGGAAACUGUUUUCUGGAAUCACCUAGGCGUGACAAUCAACGGGCCACAGGUGUGUUAACUGGCGGAGGAGUUGAAAGAAUGCUGAAGAACUUGACCUUGUUUUGUAUUUUCCUGACGAUGGCUCACAUGGCUGGGGCGCAGGAAAGAGUGGCGCGGGAUCACCUCCGGUAUGGCUGGACAUCGAGAUUGGAUGGCAGUCUGGAUGUUGACCGUUGGAUAGCUGCUCGUCAAGAAAUGCGCAUCAAUGCGGUGGAAUUCCACAAUUGGUGGGAAGUGUGCGAGUGCGCUCUACCGUCAGGUUCGACUUGGAAUGAAUUGGCGGGAGGGC